UUCACAAAACCUCUUUGAUGUGCUUCAUGAGCGCAGAGCCACAGAGAGGGGCUUCACAAAACAAACUCUAAACCCUCCCUCUCUUGCUUCUUUCUUUCUCAACCAUCAAACCCAUUUCCCAUUCGCUUUUUAUAUUCCAACAAUGGGAAAGCGCAAACGAAUUUCUCAUCACUCUCACCCCAAUCCGAUCCUCACAACCCUUCUCCUUCUUCAACCGAAGCCAUUCUCCACUCUUCUAACAUGGAACUAUUGUCAGAUGAGAAACCUUCACAUUCAGGCAACUCUAGUGCACCCCCUAUGCAACCCGGACUGGAUAUGACAGAUGGAUCUAUGAAGCUACUGAAUACCCAUCCAACUAUGCCGCAUCAUCAUCAUCAGGGUCUUGGCCGUUCAAUAUUUUUGAAGCGUUCAAGACAUUACUAAGGUCACCAGUAUUCACGACGCCAAUGCAUCGUCUUCUCGUGGCAAGGGUGUUUCUUCGUAUGAUGAUAGACUUCCUUUUAAGUUGGCUUAUCAACCCAACUCACAAUCGAGACAGCUUGUUGAAUACAGAGAGAAGACAUUUUCCAGACCGGAGAGAAUCCGGUCAAGUUCAAUAACAAUGGAUGCAGUAUCCCCCGAUGCAGUGAAGACGGUUUGGCGAUUUGUCAGAAGCCACUGAGGCGGAAAUUUAAUCUUCUCGGGGGUUCACUUUCUUGCUGUGAACUCUGUUGUGGCCGUUUUAGUAUGCGGUCACAUUUAUCAUGCGGAUUGUCUGGAGCAGAGAACUAGUAUUGAAGAAAUACGGGACCCCUCAUGCCCUGUGUUUAGGUCUACUUCUGCAGGUCAAAGGACAGUAAUAUUUUCCAAGGGGAUGAAUGUUACAACAUGAAGUUGAACAUGUGCAACUAAUGAUGAAAGGUUUUUUGGAAGAUAACAAAAUGGAAGACCAUGAGCUCAGCUUGGAUAAUAUGUUGGAGACUAUUAGUAUAAGUCAACAGAAUCUCUGGUUAAUCUUGUAGGGUUUGAGCAUAGGGAGAGAUUGUGUAACUUAUUUUAUACCUUAAUAGUUAUCACUUAUCAAUAGAUGCAUAGGGUAUCAUAAUAAUAGUAUGUAACAACUUAAAAGCUUUACUUAUCUGAGUGAUGGAUGACAUAUAGAUUCUAGUAGCUGUAAAUGUUUCAUGAUUUCAAAUUUUCAAUGACCAUACUAAUUGAAAUUAGUGUUCA